rnacentral:rRNA from 1 species
AAUUCGCCCUUAGAGUUUGAUCCUGGCUCAGAAUGAACGCUGGCGGCGUGCUUAACACAUGCAAGUCGAACGGUAACAGAUAGAAGCUUGCUUCUAUGCUGACGAGUGGCGCACGGGUGAGUAAUAUAUAGGUUACGUGCCUCUUAGUCUGGGAUAGCCACUGGAAACGGUGAUUAAUACUGGAUACUCCUGUUUACAGGGAAAGUUUUUUCGCUAAGAGAUCGGCCUAUACUGUAUCAGUUAGUUGGUGAGGUAAUGGCUCACCAAGACGAUGACACAUAGCGGGUUUGAGAGGAUGAUCCGCCACACUGGUACUGAGACACGGACCAGACUCCUACGGGAGGCAGCAGUGAGGAAUAUUGCACAAUGGGCGAAAGCCUGAUGCAGCAACGCCGCGUGGAGGAUGACGCAUUUCGGUGUGUAAACUCCUUUUAUCAGAGAAGAAAAUGACGG